UUGAAUACAAUACCGAUGGGUCCUUGCCGUUUCGUACGGAGCGAGAUUGCAAGGUUAAAAGGGAAGCCGGUGCAAAUCCGGCACGGUCCCGCCACUGUAAACCGGGGAUUUUCUCACAACGGCCACUGUCCUUAUUCGGAUGGGAAGGCGAGAAAAUCGUAACCCGCAAGUCAGGAGACCUGCCUAUGGGUGCGACUUACAA
rnacentral:ncRNA from 1 species